AAAGAACACACAUCAUGUUUGUCAUUGAUCACAAUAACAGUCGUCGUUGAUCACAAUCAUAGUCCUUGUUGAUCACAUUCUGGUCAUCGUAGAUUAAUUCGUAGCUGUCGUGGAUUACAUUAUGGUUGUCGUGGGUUAAAUCAUCGUUGUCGUGGAUUUUAUGGAAUUAAUAUGGAUUUAUCAUUUGGGGAUUACGUUAAUCUACGAAUGAAGACCAAAGACGACGUUUAAGUUUUGUGCAUGUGAUGCAGUGCUUUUGGCGGUUGAAACAUUUGCCUGAAAACGAUGAUACAUCUUAUAUUGUCGAAAACUUUGAUCAAACUGUCGUAUAAUGUAAGAUUAUCAUUGUACAAGGUAAAAUAUACAUGUCUGAUGUCGAUUUUUAAAAGUUUUUCGUUCUUUUGAUCACCAGGAUACACGUCCUAAGUUCAAGGAAAUAAGCAUGGGUUUCUUUGAGUUUUGGUCGUGUUUAUUAUCUCGUAUAUUAUACUUCUUAAAACUGAAUCAUAUGUAUAUUUAGUUAUGAAACUA